rnacentral:lncRNA from 1 species
AUUCAAUUAAUAAACAUCUGAAGCAUCCAGUCCUCAGACUCAAUAACUUUUCCAUGUGUAAUCUAAAAUAUUGAGAACAUAUUUAUAAUUUAACACAGUUAUUGUGAUCCUGUGCCAACUAUUAGCUCAUGGAUAUAACUUGAACACAAGGUUAUAGGAUAAUCAGAAUCUACAGAAAUGUUGUUUUUUACCCACAAAAUCUCUACAAAUUACAGUUUUGUGUUUUACUUUAAACAUAUUAAUUUCUAUUUUUGUUCUUACUGUAAAAUGAUAGAAAGAAGAUUUAUAUGAAAGCAGUAUAAUAUGCAAGAAACACUGCCAUCAUUACAGAUCUUUUUCCUCAUUUCACUUCUUAGAAAGUCAUUUUUUAACAACAUUUAUGAUUCAACACAGGAAGAUACUACCAUUUCAAACAUCUAUUUAGGACUGCAGUAGAAGAGGUGAAGAACAAUGUGUCCUUGGGUGCCUGUGAUGUGCAGAAGCCUUGGAAUACAUCAUUACUGCAGUGCAGCUGGACAUCUGCUACACAGAAUGUAGCACAUCCAUAAAGAAAAACCUUCUGGGAUUCAUUUUGAAGGAGCAUGUUCGGGCUUUGAGAGAGGCUGAUGCAGAACAGGCUGAGGAACUGGAUCUAAGAUCAUGAAUUGAAGAUUAGGAAGGAUACAAGCAGAAAUAUAUUGCCAAGGAGAGAAUGGAGAGAGAGCAGGUUUGGUCAAAGAUUUGGGGCAAUACACCACUUCUUCCAAAACUUUAUUGAUUGCCAGGCAUUUGAGGUUCAGGACAUUGCUCACUUAUGAGAUGCCCUGUGACAUCUUUGUUGAAUUUCAGCUGCUAUUCUGAAAUGAAUGUUUCCCACAGACUAAAUCACAUGGAUGUCUCAGGCUUACAUAGAUAUCUCAAACAGCAGUAGAUGUCUGUGUGUAAGCACUUGAAAAAAUCCUUCAGAGAUAUGUUCAGGUCCAGAUUCAGGCACAUAAAGGUGCCUGCAAUGUCUUUAUUUACACGUGAAUUUGGUAUUUAAGCUUCCGUUGUCUGCCUGCUAUGGAGGCUAAAGAUCUACUCAGUUCCCCCAAAACCAGUCCUGCAUCUGACUGGCUGUAGCUCUUUAGACUUGACUGACUGUGUUGACAAGGGGUAGCCAGUGGAAUUUCGCUCAUUCUUGAUGUUCAGUAUACCUACUGAAAAAAAAAGGUUGGGUCACCUCAGGUGACGGGAGCUGUGUGAUUGUGUGCUGGUGACUGAGUCAUCCAUGUGGAUAUCUCUGCUGUCUGUAACAGGAGCUGAGAUACCUAAUUUGCACGUUAACAUCUAUACUUAGGCUUUUAAAUUUAGCUAUUUUUCUUUUCAUGGUGAAUCCCACCAUUGAUGUUUCUCCUUUAUUAUUUGUAAGUAUUGCAGUUAAAUUUGUCAUUUAACCUUGUUAGCUAGUGUGAGCCUAGACUCCCAUUGGACUACUUUAUUCUCCAAAGCUGCAGUCUCCUGCUUGCAUUGUGCUACUAGAGACCUGCAGUAGCAGCAAGUAUCAUUUCAUAUCUUCCUUAGAGGAAAACAGAACAAGUUCCUCUCUUUUCACAGAAUCACAGAAUCAUCUAGGUUGGAAGAGACCUCAAAGAUCUCAAAAGUAGCCAUGACCCUGAAUACAUUGAUACCUAUUGCUUGUAGAAAGGAUAACACAUCAUCAUAAAGUUAUAGAAUCAGAGUGGUUUGGGUUGAAAAGGACCUUAAAAACUAUCUAGUUCCAACCCACUGCCAUAGGCAGAAAUGCCACCCACUAGAUCAGGUUGCCUAGGGCCUCAUACAUCCUGACUUUGAACACCUCCAGGGAUGAGGCAUCCACAGUCUCUCUGGGAAACCUGUUCCAGUGCCUCACCACCCUCUGAGUGAAGUAUUUCCUCCUAAUCUCUAAACUAAAUUUGCCUUCUUUUACUUUAAAUUUUACUUUAAAUCUAUUCCUCCUUGUACUGUCAUUAUCUGCCUGAGCAAAAACUUGUUCUCCAUCUUUUUUAUAACUCCUCUCCCUCCUUUAAAUAUUGAAAAGUUGCUAUGAGAACACCCAAGAGCCUUCUCUUUAGGCUAAACAUCCCCAACUCCCUUAGCCUGUCUUCAUAGGAGAGGUACUCCAGACCUUUGUUCAUCUUGGUGGCCCUCCUCUGGACUCAUUCUAAUACUUCCAUGUCCUUCUGAAGCAUAAAACUCUGUUAUGAAUUAUUUGAGGGUUGCAUUUAUGCUAAAAUAGUAAACAGGGCAAGACCCAAAGUUCAAACACUGGUAUAUGGUACUGUGUAGUGGCCAACAUGUCUUUUGGUGUGUUUUUGGCUUGUGACAACUUUUCCCAGAUAAUACUAAGAACAGAUCAAUCUCCAACAGACAGUAGGUAUAAGGGUGUUGCUGCAGGAGAGAUUUUUACAAUAUAGACAUAUAUUACAGACACUUGGUGCCUGUGGGCUGAAGAACAAACCCUGUGCUCUCUUACUUUUAAAUACUGAUGGAGUAUAAAGGAAAAUCAAUAAGCUAACUGAGGCUGAAAGUUAUUACAAAUAAACUGCAGAAUCAGUAUUUGUGUCUUUGUGUC